GAUGAACGCUGGCGGCGUGCCUAAUACAUGCAAGUCGUACGAGAAAGGGUCCUUCGGGACCUGAGUAAAGUGGCGCACGGGUGAGUAGCGCGUGGAUAAUCUACCCUUCAGUUGGGAACAACUCAUCGAAAGGUGGGCUAAUACCGAAUAAUACUGCUCGACCUUGGUCGAGCAGCCAAAGAGAGCCUCUGCUUGCAAGCCCUCGCUGAAGGAUGAGUUCGCGUACCAUUAGCUUGUUGGUAGGGUAAUGGCCUACCAAGGCGACGAUGGUUAGCUGGUCUGAGAGGAUGAACAGCCACACUGGAAAUGAGACACGGUCCAGACUCCUACGGGAGGCAGCAGUGAGGAAUCUUGCGCAAUGGGGGAAACCCUGACGCAGCAACGCCGCGUGAGUGAGGAAGGUCUUCGGAUCGUAAAGCUCUGUCAGUUGGAAAGAAAUGUCUGAGAGUCAAUCCCUUUCAGGCUUGACGGUACCAACAGAGGAAGCACCGGCUAACUCCGUGCCAGCCGCCGCGGUAA
rnacentral:rRNA from 1 species